GAACGUAUGGUUUAGUGGUCAUAACUCCUAGACGAUUAAAAAAAACGCGGGUUCAAAUCCCGCUACAUUCA
rnacentral:tRNA from 1 species